CCGUUGGUUUGGAGAGUGCUUCGUUUGCUCCGGUUCCUGAGCCGCGGCCGAGGGGCGGCUCAGCCAAUGGUCCCUGUUGGAAAAGCUGCUGUGGCCGCGCUCUGCUCCCUGUCGAUGUUCAAAAGGCUCUUUUCAGUGAGUCAUUUUCUCUUCUGCUGUCCCACUAUCCAGGGAAAAUGGUGACGUUCUCGGUACAAAGUGUGUUCACCAUGGAAACCAGCUGAAAGGAGGGGGAACGCCACCCCCUGCUCCUCCCAGGUUCGGCUUUGCAUCCAUGAGCCUUAGAAGAUGGCUCUUGAGCUCCUUUGCAAGCACCAGCAAAGAGUUUGGCGUGGUUUGGGCUUUGCCAAAGCACACGGGGCCUGGGCAUCUGCUCAUUGCCGUGCCGGGAGCCAGGGUGCUCCGUGCCCAAGCCGUGCGGUGCCAGGCAGUGCCUGGGAGCAGCCGGGAGCUUCCAGCUCCCACCGGGACCUUCCCGAGACCUCUGUGCCCUUCAGACGGCACCCCCCUUAGCGAGCUUUCCUGGUCCUCCUCGCUGGCCGUCGUGGCUGUUUCCUUCUCGGGGCUCUUCACCUUCAUCUUCCUCAUGUUGGCCUGCCUGUGCUGCAAGAAGGGGGACAUCGGCUUCAAGGAGUUUGAGAACGCCGAGGGGGACGACUUCGUGACGGAGCUCUCGGCCCAGGGCUCGCCCGCCCCCCAGCAUGGCCCCGAGGUCUACGUCCUGCCCCUCACCAAGGUCUCCCUGCCCAUGGCCAAGCAGCCAGGGCGCUCAGUGCAGCUCCUCAAGUCGGCGGACCUGGGGCGGCAGAGCCUGCUCUACCUGAAGGAGAUCGGGCACGGCUGGUUCGGCAAGGUGUUCCUGGGCGAGGUGAACUCAGGCAUCAGCAGCACUCAGGUGGUGGUGAAGGAGCUGAAGGCGAGCGCCAGUGUGCAGGACCAGAUGCAGUUCCUGGAGGAAGCGCAGCCCUACAGGGCCCUCCAGCACACCAACCUGCUGCAGUGCCUGGCCCAGUGCGCCGAGGUCACCCCAUACCUGCUGGUGAUGGAGUUCUGCCCACUGGGAGACCUAAAGGGAUACCUGCGGAGCUGCCGGGGGGCUGAAGCCAUGACCCCGGACCUGCUGACCCUGCAGAGGAUGGCGUGUGAGGUGGCCUGUGGUGUCCUGCACCUGCACAGGAACAACUACAUCCACAGCGACCUGGCUCUGCGGAACUGCCUGCUCACCGCAGACCUGACCGUCAAGAUCGGAGACUACGGGCUCUCGCACUGCAAGUACAAAACCCUGCAUACUUGGCAGGACGACUACUUCGUGACGGCCGACCAGCUGUGGGUGCCGCUGCGCUGGAUCGCACCCGAGCUCAUCGACGAGGUGCACGGCAACCUGCUCAUCGUGGACCAGACCAAGGCCAGCAACGUCUGGUCGCUGGGUGUCACCAUCUGGGAGCUGUUUGAGCUGGGCAGCCAGCCCUACGACCACUACUCUGACCGGCAAGUGCUCGCCUACGCCAUCAAGGAGCAGCAGCUCAAGCUGCCCAAGCCCCAGCUGAAGCUCUCGCUGUCGGAGCGCUGGUACGAGGUGAUGCAGUUCUGCUGGCUGCAGCCGGAGCAGCGCCCCACGGCAGAGGAGGUCCACCUGCUGCUCUCCUACCUGUGCGCCAAAGGGGCGACGGAAGCGGAGGAGGAGUUCGAGAAGCGCUGGAACUCCAUGAAGCCCAACGGCAGCUCCAGCGGCAGCCACCAUGGCCCCGAGCUCUCCUCCUUCCCGCUGCUGGAGCAGUUCUCGGCCGACGGCUUCCCCUCGGACGGGGACGACAUCCUCACCGUCAUGGAGACCAGCCACGGCCUCAACUUCGAGUACAAGUGGGAGCACACCAAGACCGACCACUUCCAGGCGCCCCUGGGCUCGCUGAGCCCCAGCAGCGCCGCUCGCUACCACGACCUCUACUACCCGGCCACGACCACGGCGCGCCUGAGCCUGGGGGUCUCCCCCUCGUGCUACGACUGCAAGCCCCCCGGCUGCCCCGGGCUGCCGGCGCCCGGCGUGGUGCCCAUCCUGGGCGCGCACAGCCCCUCGCUGGGCAGCGAGUACUACAUCCGCAUCGAGGGCCCCGGCGACGGCGGCGCCGAGCUGGACUACGCCAUGUGCACCUACAGCCCCACGGGCGAGCGCGGGCCCCUGCGGCCCCCGUCCUGCUGGCGAGCACAGGGCGCCCGCAGCGGCAGCACCUACGACUCCGACAGCAGCCCCACGGUCUCCCUCAGCAUGGAGCCGCUGCUGGGCCACGCACCCGCGGGCGAUGGCUCCUGGGAGUGCGCCGAGUACUACCCCUACCCCUGCCCCGGGCAGGAGCCGUCCCCCGAGGGGUACCUGCUGGAGGAGGAGCCCCCCCAGGCGGGCAGGCAGGACUGGCCCCAGCCCAGCUUCCAGCCCCACGUCUUCACCGACCCCUUGGGGGUCUCGCCAUCGGUGACCUGUGCCUACACCCCCCGUGGGCGCGGGGAGCUGCGGGUGGACCCUCCGGGCGGGUGCGUGCCGGGGCCGAGCGCGGCGCCUCCGGACUGCGUGGCGGUGGAGCUGGGCGAGGAGAGCCCCCCGAGCCCCCCGCAGGCGCAGGGCGCCAGCCCCGCAUCCCAGCGGCACCCCUGGGCCUCCAACAGCUCCUCCAACAACAACAUCGGCAGCGGGAGCCCCGCCGAGGCGGCGGCCGGGGACAGCUGGUGCUACCGCCGCAUGAUCACCUUCCGCGGGCUCAUGGCCAAGCCCCUGGGCACGGUGCCACGCGGGCAGCUCGGGGGGUCUCCGCCGGGACACGACUUCCGCCGCCCGUGGCAGGAUCAGCCCCCCGGUGCGGCCGGCGGCUCCUCCUCCCCGUGCUGCUCGCCCUCCCCGCGGCGUCAGGCCUGGCACAGCCGUGACUCAUCAACCUCAGGCCGCCUGCAAGCAGCAGCGCUGGCUGGCAGCCCCGCCACGCCGUGGGGCCCCGCCACGGCCCCCGCCACCGCAGCAGGGGCCCAGCACGAUGCCCACCCGGAGGAGAGCGCCGAGGCGAGCAGCCCUGCCCGCAGCCCGCUGCCCCACACCGCGCCUGCACCGGGGCUGGAGGAGGCCGCCGCCAUGGCUGGCACCGGCACCCCGAACCACAGCCCCCCCGCGGAGCCUGGCAUAGAUGGCUCCCAGCCCGCGCCCGAGCCUUCCGGGGCGCCUGCGCUCGUGCUCAUGGAGGCUGCUGCCGACAGCACCGGCUGUGCCGCGGGCGACGCGGACCGGACACCGGACAAGACCUGCUCGAGCGCCAGCUUCCCCAGCGCGGGCGAGGGCAGCGACGAGGACACGGCCGAGCUGACCUCGGGCGUCUUCACCGACUUCUCCGGGGACUACCCCGAGCGGGCGGAGGCGGCGGCGGCGCCGGCGCCCUUCAAGUCCCUGCAGAAGCAGGUGGGGACGCCGGAUUCCCUGGAGUCGCUGGACAUCCCGUCCACGGGCAGCUCCUGCGAGGUGUGCAGCCCCACCGCCGCCUUCGCGCCCGCCGGCCAGCCCAAGGCCCUCGACAGCGGCUACGACACCGAGAACAACGAGUCCCCCGAGUUCGUCCUCAAGGAGCCCCACGAGCCGCGGGAGCCGGAGCCCUUCGGCCAGCUGGGGAAGGCAGCGCCGGGGCUGCCGGAGGGCGAGGGUCCGGCCCCCGAAACGCGGCUCCCCACGGCCCUCGGGGCCGAGCUGCAGAGCCUGGCCGAGAAGAACCCGUACCGCGACUCCGCGUACUUCUCCGACUACGACGCCGAGGCCGAGCGUGGCCCCAAGGAUGAGGAGGACAGCGAUGGGUCCCGGACCCCGGAGGCAGAGGAGGGUCCCCAGUCCCCUGUUAAGGACAUAGGGAGAGCCCCCGUGCCGGGAGAGGACCCACUGCACCCCCCGGGGGCACCCGGCAGCCCCCCGGCAGCGCCCGGUGCUGCGGUGGCCGUGGGCACGCCGGUGCCUGGGGGUUUGGUGGGGGACUGGCGUGGGGCAGAGGUUGGGAACACCCCGGUCAGCCCCACGGGGCAGGUGCCUGGCACUGAGCAGCGUCCCGCUGGCACGGGGCUGGUGCCGGGCAGCUCCCUGCGCCCCGGUGGGUCAGUGCCACACAAGACUUUCCUCUUGACCCCGGUGCCGGCGAGCCCCGGGGAGCCGGUGUCCAUCGGAGGGACCCAUGUGCCGGAGGGCAUCCCUGGACCUGGGGGAGCCGCGGCUGGGGAUGAACAGACUGUGCCGCCCGCGCCGGGGCUUGGGCAUCUGGGGCUGCCCCCCGAGGGGACUGGGGCAGACGAUGCGCCGGGGGGCCCCAGCACGCUGCGACCGGGGGACGAGUCACCCCCGGGGCUGUCCCCACUGAAAUCCCCCCGGGAGCCGCAUCCCGCAGCCCCCGAGCGCCGCGAGGAGCCGGAGGAGGAUGAGGAGGACACGGAGGACAGCGAUGAGUCCGAUGAGGAGCUGCGCUGCUACAACAUCCAGGAGCAGAGCGAGGAGAGCGAGGAGGAGCCGGCGGCCGUGCCCAUCGUGGUGGCCGAGAGCCAGAGCGGCAGGAACCUGCGCAGCCUCCUCAAGAUGCCCAGCCUGCUCUCCGAGUCCUUCUGCGAGGACCUGGAGCGCAAGAAGAAGGCCGUCUCCUUCUAUGAUGAUGUUACCAUCUACCUCUUCGACCAGGAAAGCCCCACGAGGGAGCUGGCUGAGCAGAGCUUCCCGGAGCCCCCCCAGCCUUCGGGGCAGCCCCCCGAGAGCAGCAGCCCCCCCAGCCCCGCAGACCGGCUCGGAGCCUCGGAUGACUCCUCAGACGGCAACGCCUCGGAAGAGAGCGGUGGCUUCGAGUGGGACGAUGACUUCCCGCUCAUGCCGGUGAAGCCGUCGCUGAUGGCCUCGCUGACGGGGCCGCCGGUGGAGCCCGACCCGGCUGUGCCCGCGCUGGUGCCGGUGCAGAAGCAGGUCCUGCCCAUCCAGUUCUCCCGGUUCACGGUCUCGCCUGCUCCGGUGUCCCGGUUCUCCAUCACCCACGUCUCCGACUCGGACAUGGACUCCAUAGGAGGCAGCAGUGAAGAUGGUGACCGGGAGUGAGCCAACCGGGACGCCGGCACCGGCACCGGCACCGGCACUGGCAGGGGGUGGCAGAGCACGGCGGGGCCGGGAGCGGGGGCCACGCUCCGGACUUUUUUUAGGCAGAUUUUCUCGGAAGGAGCUCGUUUGCUGCUGCGAGCGGGAGCGGGGCCGGCCCGGGGCCAGGCGCUUCCAGCAGGAAAUAAUGGAAGUAAGCGGAGCUGAGCGAAACCUUGAGAUCAGGGCGGGCUCCUUUGGGGUCUAUAGACCAAACCCUGAGGUUACAUCUUGCAGGUGCCACAACUGAAGGAGGUGCAAAGGAGCCCCAGGGGCUGGCUGGAGCCUGAGGGGGCUGCACAGGGGUCCUGGGG